UUGAACGCUGGCGGCAUGCCUUACACAUGCAAGUCGAACGGCAGCACGGGUGCUUGCACCUGGUGGCGAGUGGCGAACGGGUGAGUAAUACAUCGGAACAUGUCCUGUAGUGGGGGAUAGCCCGGCGAAAGCCGGAUUAAUACCGCAUACGAUCUACGGAUGAAAGCGGGGGACCUUCGGGCCUCGCGCUAUAGGGUUGGCCGAUGGCUGAUUAGCUAGUUGGUGGGGUAAAGGCCUACCAAGGCGACGAUCAGUAGCUGGUCUGAGAGGACGACCAGCCACACUGGGACUGAGACGCGGCCCAGACUCCUACGGGAGGCAGCAGUGGGGAAUUUUGGACAAUGGGCGAAAGCCUGAUCCAGCAAUGCCGCGUGUGUGAAGAAGGCCUUCGGGUUGUAAAGCACUUUUGUCCGGAAAGAAAUCCUUGGCUCUAAUACAGUCGGGGGAUGACGGUACCGGAAGAAUAAGCACCGGCUAACUACGUGCCAGCAGCCGCGGUAAUACGUAGGGUGCGAGCGUUAAUCGGAAUUACUGGGCGUAAAGCGUGCGCAGGCGGUUUGCUAAGACCGAUGUGAAAUCCCCGGGCUCAACCUGGGAACUGCAUUGGUGACUGGCAGGCUAGAGUAUGGCAGAGGGGGGUAGAAUUCCACGUGUAGCAGUGAAAUGCGUAGAGAUGUGGAGGAAUACCGAUGGCGAAGGCAGCCCCCUGGGCCAAUACUGACGCUCAUGCACGAAAGCGUGGGGGAGCAAAACAGGAUUAGAUACCCUGGUAGUCCACGCCCUAAACGAUGUCAACUAGUUGUUGGGGAUUCAUUUCCUUAGUAACGUAGCUAACGCGUGAAGUUGACCGCCUGGGGAGUACGGUCGCAAGAUUAAAACUCAAAGGAAUUGACGGGGACCCGCACAAGCGGUGGAUGAUGUGGAUUAAUUCGAUGCAACGCGAAAAACCUUACCUACCCUUGACAUGGUCGGAAUCCCGCUGAGAGGUGGGAGUGCUCGAAAGAGAACCGGCGCACAGGUGCUGCAUGGCUGUCGUCAGCUCGUGUCGUGAGAUGUUGGGUUAAGUCCCGCAACGAGCGCAACCCUUGUCCUUAGUUGCUACGCAAGAGCACUCUAAGGAGACUGCCGGUGACAAACCGGAGGAAGGUGGGGAUGACGUCAAGUCCUCAUGGCCCUUAUGGGUAGGGCUUCACACGUCAUACAAUGGUCGGAACAGAGGGUUGCCAACCCGCGAGGGGGAGCUAAUCCCAGAAAACCGAUCGUAGUCCGGAUUGCACUCUGCAACUCGAGUGCAUGAAGCUGGAAUCGCUAGUAAUCGCGGUAUCAGCAUGCCGCGGUGAAUACGUUCCCGGGUCUUGUACACACCGCCCGU
rnacentral:rRNA from 1 species